AAUCAACGCUGGCGGCGUGCCUAACACAUGCAAGUCGAACGCGGUUACCCCGCAAGGGGUAACUGAGUGGCGAACGGGUGAGUAACGCGUGGGUGACCUACCUUCGAGUGGGGGAUAACGUCCCGAAAGGGACGCUAAUACCGCAUAACAUCCUGCCUUUGAACAGGCGGUGAUCAAAGCCGGGGAUCGCAAGACCUGGCGCUUGAUGAGGGGCCCGCGUCUGAUUAGCUAGUUGGUGAGGAAUGG
rnacentral:rRNA from 1 species